rnacentral:rRNA from 1 species
AGUGAACGCUGGCGGUAGGCCUAACACAUGCAAGUCGAACGGCAGCACAGUAAGAGCUUGCUCUUACGGGUGGCGAGUGGCGGACGGGUGAGGAAUACAUCGGAAUCUACUUUUUCGUGGGGGAUAACGUAGGGAAACUUACGCUAAUACCGCAUACGACCUACGGGGGAAAGCAGGGGAUCUUCGGACCUUGCGCGAUUGCAUGAGCCGAUGUCGGAUUAGCUAGUUGGCGGGGUAAAGGCCAACCAAGGCGACGAUCCGUAGCUGGUCUGAGAGGAUGAUCGGCCACACUGGAACUGAGACACGGUCCAGACUCCUACGAGAGGCAGCAGUGGGGAAUAUUGGACAAUGGGCGCAAGCCUGAUCCAGCCAUACCGCGUGGGUGAAGAAGGCCUUCGGGUUGUAAAGCCCUUUUGUUGGGAAAGAAAAGCAGCAGGUUAAUACCCCGCUGUUCUGACGGUACCCAAAGAAUAAGCACCGGCUAACUUCGUG